UGCUGCGCUGGGAGCUGGGAGGGGGCGAAGGCCCGCACGUGUGCAGGGGGAGGGGGCGUCCGCGCGGUAGGCGGGGCUGCCCCCACGUGGAGCCGCAGCCACGCACCCACGCUGAGCGCAGCAGCCUCCGCGCUCGGGGCCCCAGCACGUGGCGCCUCCCUGCGCGCGUGCGCCUGCGGCGGGCCUGAACUCCCAGUGCGGGCCAGAGCGCGCGGGCGCUGGCGUCCCCGUGCCUACCCGGGAGGCGCGCCGGAGACUCGGGCGCCCUGCUUCCGAGGGUCGUCCCCGGCCCACCGCACGCUAGGGGCACAGCAGAGCCAGAUCCCGAGACCGCCGGCCCCGGGCAGGUGCAGCCCUUCGGCCACGCGGAGUUCUAGCCGCCCAGGUGCCGCCAGAGGCCCCGCCCCGGCCUGUGGCAGAAGAGCGGAGCCCGCCCCCCCUCACGUGCUGGCGUCGGUCUCGCGUGCAGAUGGGGCGCGAGCCCGGAGGUCACAGGAGGAAACUUAGUGUUGAGUUUAGACCGUGAGAACGCGACCUCUUGCGUCCCGCCGCGCCACCUCCCGGUCUGCCUCCCUUUUAAAAGUUCCAGUAGGUGAACGGUGAUGCUCCUUGGGCCCGCCCCACUGUGAUCCCGACCCUCAAAACUACCGCCUCUUUGCCGUAGAGGAGCCAAAUCUCGGAUUCCAAAUUGGAGGACGUAGCAACAGUUUAGUGGAGGAAGACAGGAGAAAGGAAAAGGGCCCAACUGGAUGGAAAGCAAGCCCUGGGACCCGACCAGUCUGCUGAGACAAAUGCGGUGGACCCAAGUUCCUGUCUGCCACCUCACCUUGGGCUGUGUUCUGGCGUCUCUUCGAUACCUGUGAUUCCUCAAAAUGGACCGCAUGCUAGGAGUAAAGAGAAGAAAGUAAACCGACUCCUCCACAGACUCCUUUAGACAGUCUUCAAAGUGGUGCUCCGAAUUAGACCGUCUUAACAGAGCAAGGAGAGAACAGAUUUAUACACAGGCUAAUGAAGAACCAGACUCUACCCAACCAGGUUUUUCGUAUAUGAUUGAAAAAGUCCACCAUCUCUAGUAUUAUGGAUCAGUUAUUAAACUUGUUAACAUCAGGAAUUAAUCCUAAUUCAUGGACUUUAAAAUCUACCUCUGAUAAAUGCCUAAAGAAGAGUCCAAGACCAAGCCAAUAUCCACCUACACCUUCAGGACAACAUUCACGUUGGCCACUGCAGAAAACUACAACUCCCGCUUAUCCCAUCCCUCCCUCCCCCAGCCAGGCCACAAAGAGGCACCACUGUCGAACUUGAAUGAAUAGAUUAAAAAAUGUAGUAAUUUACCUGUCAA